rnacentral:tRNA from 1 species
GCACUAGAGGUCUAACUGGCGAGACACUUCUUUCGUAAUGAAGAGAACGGGGUUCGAUUCCCCGCUGGUGCU